AUUUAAUAAUGUUAAGUGUUAAAUUUAUUUUGGUUUAAGAUAUAUUUUAUUACUUUAUUUAUUUUGUUGGGGCGACAGGAAAAUUUUAUUAACUUUUCUUUAAUAUUUUCAUUAAUUAAUGUAUAAUUGAUCCUUUAUUUAAAGAUUAAAAGAUUAAAU
rnacentral:rRNA from 1 species